rnacentral:rRNA from 1 species
UACGAAGGGUGCCAGCGUUGGUCGGAAUGACUGGGCGUAAAGGGUUCGUAGGCGGGAAUAUAAGUUAAGUGUGAAAUCCCUGGGCUUAACCCCGGACGUGCACUUAAAACUGUGUUUCUUGAGUACUGGAGGGGGUUGGGGAAUUGCAGGUGUAGGAGUGACAUCCGUAGAGAUCAGCAGGAACACCGGAGGCGAAGGCGCCAACCUGGACAGAUACUGACGCUGAGAAACGAAAACGUGGAGAGCAAACAGG